UUUGACAAAUACCCUACAAAAGUUGACCCAUUCUACCGGCACAGUGAUCCCUCCUGUUUUUGAAAUGCAUUAAAAUCUCCAAUCAUUUAGGACUUCUAUCUGAUUUAACAAUUAAUAAUUAGAAAAGCUCCCUUUCUAAUGAUGCCCUCACCCGGGAUGUCAUUUGCUGGCUGAUUGAUCCUGAACUACUUUUAACUUUUUAAGUUACACAUUCGUGGCACGUCUGUGUGAUCAUUCCAUCAUGGCUUCUUGACUAAUGGCAUCAAACUGAGAUUACGUGGCUUGCUCAUGUCGAUGUCUUUCUAUGGGACGGGAAUUUGAAUAUGUCACUUGCCUCCUACUAAA
rnacentral:lncRNA from 1 species